rnacentral:rRNA from 1 species
ACUCCUACGGGAGGCAGCAGUGAGGAAUAUUGGUCAAUGGGCGAGAGCCUGAACCAGCCAAGUCGCGUGAAGGAAGAAGGUUCUAUGGAUUGUAAACUUCUUUUGUAAGGGAAUAAAAUGCGCUACGUGUAGUGUUUUGUAUGUACUUUACGAAUAAGGAUCGGCUAACUCCGUGCCAGCAGCCGCGGUAAUACGGAGGAUCCAAGCGUUAUCCGGAUUUAUUGGGUUUAAAGGGUGCGUAGGCGGACCCAUAAGUCAGUGGUGAAAGUUUGCAGCUCAACUGUAAAAUUGCCAUUGAAACUGUGGGUCUUGAGUGUAAAUGAGGUAGGCGGAAUGUGUUGUGUAGCGGUGAAAUGCUUAGAUAUAACACAGAACACCAAUUGCGAAGGCAGCUUACUAGAAUACAACUGACGCUGAGGCACGAAAGCGUGGGGAUCAAACAGGAUUAGAUACCCUGGUAGUC